UGGGAUAACUGUGGGAAACUGCAGCUAAUACCGGAUACGUUCAUGUAGUUGCGAUUAUGUGAAGAAAGAUGGCCUCUGAUUAAAGCUAUUGUACAGGGAGGAGCUUGCGUACCAUUAGCUAGUUGGUAGGGUAAUGGCCUACCAAGGCAACGAUGGUUAGCGGGUCUGAGAGGAUGAUCCGCCACACUGGAACUGAAACACGGACCAGACUCCUACGGGAGGCAGCAGUGAGGAAUAUUGCGCAAUGGGGGCAACCCUGACGCAGCGACGCCGCGUGGAUGAUGAAGGCCUUCAGGUCGUAAAAUCCUGUCAGAUGGGAAGAAGUGUGUGAUGGUUAAUACCCAUUGCAUUUGACGGUACCAUCACAGGAAGCACCGGCUAACUCCGUGCCAGCAGCCGCGGUAAUACGGAGGGUGCAAGCGUUGUUCGGAAUUACUGGGCGUAAAGCGCGCGUAGGCGGUAUGUUAAGUCAGAUGUGAAAGCCCAAGGCUCAACCUUGGACGUGCAUUUGAAACUGGCAGACUUGAGUAUUGGAGGGGGUGGUGGAAUUCCCGGUGUAGAGGUGAAAUUCGUAGAUAUCAGGAGGAAUACCGGU
rnacentral:rRNA from 1 species